CGCGCAGGCGGGUGCGGAAGUCGGGGGUGAAGGGCCGGGGCUCAACCCCGGAGGGUUCUCUCGAUACUCCGUGCCUUGGGACCGGUAGAGGCCAGUGGAAUUCCCGGAGUAGCGGUGGAAUGCGUAGAGAUCGGGAAGAACACCGGAGGCGAAGGCGACUGGCUGGGCCGGAUCCGACGCUCAGGCGCGAAAGCGUGGGGAGCAAACA
rnacentral:rRNA from 1 species